UUUCUGUAGGUGAACCUGCGGAAGGAUCAUUAAUGAGUUGUCAUGGGGUUCGAUGCUGGCAGCCAAUUUUUGGAUGCAUGUGCUUGCCCUAACAAUCAUCUUCCAAACACCUGUGCACAUCUUUGAGGGAGUCUUGAGUUGGUUGCCGCUCUUGGGUGAUUUUCUCACAUUCCCUUAAAUCAUUAUACGCUAUUAACAAUGUUGAACGUGCUCUGUGCCGCAAGGCUAUUAAUAUAAUACAACUUUUAACAACGGAUCUCUUGGCUCUC
rnacentral:misc_RNA from 1 species